CAAAGGCUUGGUCCUGACCUUAAAAUCAACUCAUACUUAAAUUACACAUGCAAGUAUCCGCAACCCUGUGAGAACGCCCUUAAACUCCUUUUGGAGUAAGGAGCUGGUAUCAGGCACAACAUUAAGCCCAAAACACCUAGCUAUGCCACACCCACAAGGGACAUCAGCAGUGAUUAACAUUAAACAUAAGCGACAGCUUGAUUUAGUUAAAGUAUAGAGGGCCGGCAAAUCUGGUGCCAGCCGCCGCGGUUACACCAGCGGGCCCAAGUUGAUAUUGAUCGGCGUAAAGCGUGAUUAAAGUUAAUAUUCAUUAGGGUCAAACUAAGAUUAAGUUGUAAUAAGCUUAUUACUAGGAAGCCCUGAAACGAAAGUUACCCUAACUAAAACAACUUGAAUUCACGACAACUAGGGAACAAACUGGGAUCAGAUACCCCACUAUGCCUAGUCGUAAACUUUAAAUUACACCACCUAUCGCCAGGGAACUACGAGCAAAGCUUAAAACCCAAAGGACUUGACGGUACCCCAUAUCCACCUAGAGGAGCCUGUCCUGUAAUCGAUAACCCCCGUUCAACCUCACCAUUUUUAGCUUAUCAGCUUGUAUACCUCCGUCGCCAGCUUACCACGUGAGCGUAACUAAGUAGGUUCAAUGUUCCCCCAACAAUACGUCAGGUCAAGGUGCAGCAAAUAAAAUGGGAAGAGAUGGGCUACACUUUCUAUUUUAGAAAAUACGAAAGACUACCUAUGAAAUCUAGUCGGAAGGCGGAUUUAGAAGUAAGAAGAAACUAUAGUGUUCUUUUUAAUUUGGCUCUGGGGUGUGUACACACCGCCCGUCACCCUCUUCAAAGCAUCUAAAUAGUAGUUAACAUGUUUCAGCAAUUUAGAAGAGGCAAGUCGUAACAUGGUAAGCGUACCGGAAGGUGUGCUUGGAUUC
rnacentral:ncRNA from 1 species